GUGCUCGCUUUGGCAGCACAUAUACUAAAAUUGGAAAGAUUCGGAGAAGAUUAGCAUGGCCCCUGCGCAAAGAUGACAUGCAAAUUCAUGAAGCGUUCCAUAUUUUU
ensembl:snRNA U6 U6 spliceosomal RNA